rnacentral:rRNA from 1 species
GAUGAACGCUGGCGGCGUGCCUAAUACAUGCAAGUCGAGCGAACAGAUGAGGAGCUUGCUCCUCUGACGUUAGCGGCGGACGGGUGAGUAACACGUGGAUAACCUACCUAUAAGACUGGGAUAACUUCGGGAAACCGGAGCUAAUACCGGAUAAUAUAUUGAACCGCAUGGUUCAAUAGUGAAAGACGGUUUUGCUGUCACUUAUAGAUGGAUCCGCGCCGGAUUAGCUAGUUGGUAAGGUAACGGCUUACCAAGGCAACGAUGCGUAGCCGACCUGAGAGGGUGAUCAGUCACACUGGAACUGAGACACGGUCCAGACUCCUACGGGAGGCAGCAGUAGGGAAUCUUCCGCAAUGGGCGAAAGCCUGACGGAGCAACGCCGCGUGAGUGAUGAAGGUCUUCGGAUCGUAAAACUCUGUUAUUAGGGAAGAACAAAUGUGUAAGUAACUAUGCACGUCUUGACGGUACCUAAUCAGAAAGCCACGGCUAACUACGUG